CUGCAAAUAGCAUUUUUAAUUAGUCCCUUUGUGUUUAAAGUGUAUUUAAAUGGUCAACACUUCUGUUAGUCAUUAAGAAAUCACACAAUGUUGUCUGCGAAACAGAUAACCUGGUUUAUUACCAUUCAACUCCAUCCACCACAGAUAUUACAGAGCAGAUUCACAAGUAUUAUGCUUUUUUAAUAUAUAUUUAUAUAUAUAUAUAACAGCAGCUGUUUUUGUCACUCUUCCUCUGACCCACACACCAUAUCUCCUUCUCGGGAAUAACAUUAGAGAUUAAUUGUAAUAGUUGGUGCAAUUAACUGGCCUCAAACUGUGCAGUGAUCACUCCUUGAAAAUUGACUCCUGGUCAAGUUUGGAUACAACUGUGCUAUAGAUGAAAAUGGCUUCCAUGUCCCAGAUCUAUAACUUUAUUUCUCUUUUCUUUUUUGCAUUUCCAGAAAAAAACAUAAGUGACAGUUUAAAGGGGAUGAAACACAACUGUGUCUACUGUAUAAAAAUGUACAGUGGCCUUUAUUGACAUACAUUCCAUAGGUAUAACAGCUGCAGAAGAGGAGGCACACCCAGUAUUGCACUUCAUUAAAAGUUCUGGCUCAAAACAUAACCCAGAAUAUCAAACAAAACUGAAGUGGAGAGUAGCAAUUUCGGAAUACAGCUAUUUUGGAUACUAUCAUUAUAUACAAGAUUAGAUAAAUCGUACACUAUUUUCCUCCCAGACUUGACAUUCUUACAGUCUUAUUCACCCACACGUCUUUUUUUUGUCCGUCAACCCAUGAUGCACUUGACAGGGGACAAUACUGUACAGGAUUACGAAAAAAGUCAGUUUACAUACAACAAAAUCUUUUAAUUCAUAUUUAGGAAGCUGUAAAUACGGCCCAUGUUUUUUUUUCUUCUAACCACGUCCCUCCACGGUUGCCUUAUGCAAAUGUAUUUUAUAUCCCAUGUUUAAUCGUCACUAUAUUGUUACACUUCAUUGAUCGGGUGGUGUGCGACGCCUAUGGAAGCCGAGGGGAGAACAACGGCCGCAUGCAAAACACGUCACAAGUAUUCUUUUAAUUCAUAUACAUAUUUUUUUAAACAUAACUGUUUUCAUUUUUUCCAUUAAGUUUACCGCGAUUCCCGAGAGCUGACCCUUGAGUAUGUCUUUGUAGCAGAACUCUGGCACUCUCGUUUGUAGUCCAGCGAACAGAAAGCUUGACCAGCAGGUGUGGGGGGGGGGGGGGGGAUGUGUGUGGGGGAAAUGGGGGGCCUCCAGUGUGGCUCGCACACAGCAUGAGGAGCCAUCGUCCAGGGCUGAGCGUCCACAGCAGCGACAGCCAGGAAUCACAGUAGAUCAACAAGCCUUUUUCAGUACGGGUCUCUCUCACGGUGGCCUAGAAGGUAUGGGCGUUCCGACACACGCCGCAGCCCAGGGCAAACUCCUCUCCCGUGGGCGGCUCGCUUGGAUCGUAGUCAUCCCCCUGGCCGGCCUCCGCGUCGCAUCGUGCCUCUCCCCC
ensembl:lncRNA